rnacentral:rRNA from 1 species
UACGGAGGGUGCGAGCGUUAUUCGGAAUUACUGGGCGUAAAGCGCGUGUAGGCGGGGAGGCAAGUCUGAUGUGAAAGCCCCGGGCUUAACCUGGGAAGUGCAUUGGAAACUGCUUUUCUUGAGUGCUGGAGAGGAAGGGGGAAUUCCCGGUGUAGAGGUGAAAUUCGUAGAGAUCGGGAGGAAUACCAGUGGCGAAGGCGCCCUUCUGGACGGCAACUGACGAUGAGGCACGAAAGCGUGGGGAGCGAACAGG